rnacentral:rRNA from 1 species
AUACGUAGGGGGCUAGCGUUAUCCGGAAUUACUGGGCGUACAGGGUGCGUAGGUGGUUUCUUAAGUCAGAAGUGAAAGGCUACGGCUCAACCGUAGUAAGCUUUUGAAACUAAGAGACUUGAGUGCAGGAGAGGAGAGUAGAAUUCCUAGUGUAGCGGUGAAAUGCGUAGAUAUUAGGAGGAAUACCAGUUGCGAAGGCGGCUCUCUGGACCGUAACUGACACUGAGGCACGAAAGCGUGGGGAGCAAACAGGAUUAGAUACCCUGGUAGUCCACGCCGUAAACGAUGAGUACUAGCUGUCGGGGGUUACCCCCCUCGGUGGCGCAGCUAACGCAUUAAGUACUCCGCCUGGGAAGUACGCUCGCAAGAGUGAAACUCAAAUGAAUUGACGGGG